AUCACCGUAAGGCAGCUGAGUCGUCAUGCACACACCAAAUGCACAACUGCAGAGCAGUAUGGUAUGAUGGAUCGCCCACCGGGUUCAGGUGAAGUGCGAAUCCAAGUCCGAAGCUGUGAAGCAUAUCACCAAAGAGUAGCAUAUUAUGUAUUGUAGUUGUAGGCAGUAGUAGGCUUAUUUGGGUUGUAGUAUAAUGUAAUGAUUGUAAUAGACUAAUGUAGUGUUGUUUUGGACGAAUUCCAUUUGCUCUUUGGAUUCUUCAAAAUAAUGAUUUUGUAUGUGAUUUGAA